AAUAGAUACCCGGGUAGUCCACGCCGUAAACGAUGAGUGCUAGGUGUUAGGGGGUUUCCACCCCUUAGUGCUGCAGCUAACGCAUUAAGCACUCCGCCUGGGGAGUACGGUCGCAAGACUGAAACUCAAAGGAAUUGACGGGGGCCCGCACAAGCGGUGGAGCAUGUGGUUUAAUUCGAAGCAACGCGAAGAACCUUACCAGGUCUUGACAUCCCGCUGACCGUCAUGGAGACAUGGCUUUCCCUUCGGGGACAGCGGUGACAGGUGGUGCAUGGUUGUCGUCAGCUCGUGUCGUGAGAUGUUGGGUUAAGUCCCGCAACGAGCGCAACCCUUGUCCUUAGUUGCCAUCAUUCAGUUGGGCACUCUAAGGAGACUGCCGUACAAAUACGGAGGAAGGUGGGGAUGACGUCAAAUCAUCAUGCCCCGUAUGACCUGGGCUACACACGUGCUACAAUGGGCAGUACAAAGGGCUGCAAACCCGGCGAGGGGGAGCGAAUCCCAAAAAGCUGCUCUCAGUUCGGAUUGCAGG
rnacentral:rRNA from 1 species